rnacentral:lncRNA from 1 species
CCUUAGGAUGGGGGAACUGGGAGUGGGCACAGGGACUACUUACUCUUCUAAUUUUAAGCAAAUUCUAAGCUGAUCUCCUACAGUGACAGCCCCUCUUCUCCAGCCAAGGUGGAAAUGUUUGAAUUGGUUGGGUUGGUCACUUUGGACAAACAUCCCAGCGAUGACCCUGUGGUUACUCACUCUGGGAUUCCCAGGAAGGCGAGAUUGGAAACCUGUCUCUGAGGCCCUGAAGCUUUUCCUAGUCUUCCCUGGCAACUCUCCAUCCCAAGGAAGUUCCAGAAAGAACCCCAGGGGGGCCUCCCUCCUACGGCAAAGCAGACCUCCCCUUCCACUUCCAGUGCAGCGCUAAGUCAGAACUGCCCAAGGAAGAUUCUGCCCACGUUUAUCUCAAACUGGUCUGCAGGCCCUCGGGCUGGGACCCGUCCCAGGAGCUGCCCAUCUGCAAAGAGGUGCGUGCCACUUCCUGCGGGCCCCUUCCUGCAGGCUUCUUCCUGGCGGGCCCCUUCUGGGGGCACCGGCUACUCCACAUGACUCGGAUCUCAAACCUGGGGCUGCUCAGGGGGCAUGGAGUUGGGGGCAUAGCUGGGGGCGGUGGUGUGGCCGGGGGUGAGGUGUGGCAGCUGGGGAGCCGCGGUUGGUAGAGACGGGGGUCCACACCUGCCCCUGCCGCUGGGUUCCCAGAUGCCUCUGUGUUUUUCACCUGCCCUCACCCCGUCCCUCCAGUGAAAUGCAAAUCAGCAAGUACAUAAUAGAUAAUUAAUAGACUGAUCAGCCGGCAGGGAGGUAAGUAGAUAAAUAAUUUUAAUUAUCUUUGGGUUGCCCAUAAAUUCCCGCACUGCCUUUUCAUUAAACUCUGUUUACAGGCGUCGUCUAUACUGCAUAUCAUUUUGUGGAUGCCUCCCCCACUUCCUUAGUGGCUCCCACCAGAUCUGACCUGGGGGGGGAUGUGUGGGUCGUGGCGGGUUCUUUCCUCAGGGCCGGGCUCUGGCACAGGUGGCAGAAAGCUCUGCCUGGGGAGCGGGGCUGGGUGGCAGCAGGCAGACCACGCUCAGUGCCCCGACGCAGCCACAGCCUAUAUUUAGGCAACUCGGGAAGCUUUAUUAUGCUUGGCACCUGCGCUGAAGGUCUGAGCUCAUUGUCCUCCCCAGGGACGGCUUCGGCCUAUUAAUAGCCUUGGCUGAGGUUUCCUUAUUGCUCCGAAGGCCAAGAGAGAAAGUGGGUUAAUAAAUAUAAAAGAAAACUCUCUCCUCAGUGCCCCGACGCAGCCACAGCCUAUAUUUAGGCAACUCGGGAAGCUUUAUUAUGCUUGGCACCUGCGCUGAAGGUCUGAGCUCAUUGUCCUCCCCAGGGACGGCUUCGGCCUAUUAAUAGCCUUGGCUGAGGUUUCCUUAUUGCUCCGAAGGCCAAGAGAGAAAGUGGGUUAAUAAAUAUAAAAGAAAACUCUCUCAAGAGGGCCUGGGGCCAAACUCUCUCCCAG